AGAGGUUGGAGGCCCUAUAGAGAAAACUACAUUCAACAACUUCGUUUAAAAAUUCUGAAAUGUAUUGGCUGCAUAAAUUUUAGAAACUUUUAUAAUGGAAAACUUCAAAUGUGCAGAAACAGAGACAAUAUAAUAAAACAGAGUUUGUCUCAUCUUGACCCCACCCAUUCUCUCCCAGCCCAAUCUGCAUUAUUUUGAAGUCCCUGCAUAUCUGUUCAUCUGAUUAUGUUCUCAAGUAUACUGAAUAUGUCCUCAAAAAUACCGUUAAACAUAUCGAAGAUGAGGAAUUCUUAUGACAUAUUGUUUUUUUCUUCUGUCCCUGAGUCUCUCCUUCAUUGCCUUUCAACUUCCUCUUUCUCACCCCUCAACUUCCCCUCUCUCCUCCUAGAGAGUCUCCCCUAAUCUCCAGACCUCCACUUUGACCCUUAGUCUUUUCUUCUGAAGGGUCAGCAGCCCAGCCCCCGCUGAGCUGUCCAUUCUGUCCUUCCCCAUGCAGAGAUCCUCUGCUUUUGACUCAGUUUCCUCUCACCCUAGCGUCAGGCAGCUGGACAGAGAUGAACCCCAAAUACCUUGACUAUUGCUAAAAGUCAAAUGGAGAAGAAUUAAUCUAAGCUUGGCAGAAAUCUUCAAAAUCUUUUAAAAAACACAUGAUGCAUCACUGUUAAGUUCUAAGAAUCGCCGAAUACACUGACUGAAUUAGCCUUUUGAUACACUGUUUAGAUCUGUGGGAUCUGGGACAAGCCACAUUGCCUCCUGGAAUCUCAGUUUCCUUCUCUGUGAAGUGGGGAGGUUGGACUAUCACAGUGGUUUUCCAACUGGUUUUGGAAGGAAAUGCCCUUUCUCCUUGUCAAAGCCUUGGUAGGCCCCAGGGCACAUGACCAGCUAAAAGCAGAGACGGGCUUGUCCAUGGGUGCAGACGUUGAGAUCCAGCCCCUGACAGUUGGAAAGUGGUCAAGAGUUCUCCUAGGAUCAGA
rnacentral:lncRNA from 1 species